GAAACAUGUUAUUCAAGAGUAAGCUUCUAACUUAAACCUUAAGCGAUGAAACUUCGUUUAUGUUUCU
rnacentral:tRNA from 1 species